ACGGGAGGCAGCAGUGGGGAAUAUUGGGCAAUGGGCGAAAGCCUGACCCAGCAACGCCGCGUGAAGGAAGAAGGUCUUCGGAUCGUAAACUUCUGUCCUCAAUGAAGAGCAAGAGACGGUAAUUGAGGAGGAAGCCCCGGCUAACUACGUGCCAGCAGCCGCGGUAAUACGUAGGGGGCAAGCGUUGUCCGGAAUGAUUGGGCGUAAAGGGCGCGUAGGCGGUUCGGUAAGUCUGAAGUGAAAGUCCUGUCUUCAAGGUGGGAAUUGCUUUGGAUACUGUCGAACUUGAGUGCAGGAGAGGUUAGUGGAAUUCCCAGUGUAGCGGUGAAAUGCGUAGAGAUUGGGAGGAACACCAGUGGCGAAGGCGGCUUACUGGACUGUAACUGACGCUGAGACACGAAAGCGUGGGGAGCAAACAGGAUUAGAUACCCUGGUA
rnacentral:rRNA from 1 species